rnacentral:lncRNA from 1 species
UAUUUUUAUGCCCCACCUACGAUAGUAGAGGGGCAUUAUGUUUUCUGGUCUGUGCCUCCGUUCGUCCGUCCGCUUCAGGUUAAAGUUUUUGGUCAAGGUAGUUUUUGAAGAAGUUGAAGUCCAAUCAACUUGAAACUUAGUACACUUGUUCCCCAUGAUAUGAUCUUUCUACUUUUAAUGCCAAAUUUUAGUUUUGACCCCAAUUUCAUGGUCCACUGAACAUAGAAAAUGAUAGUGCGAAGUUCAGGUUAAAGUUUUUGGUCAAGGUAGUUUUUGAUGAAGUUAAAGUUACAUCAACUUGAAACUUAGUUCACAUGUUCCCUAUGAUAUGAUCUUUCUAAUUUUAAUUCCAAAUUAAAGUUUUGACCCCAAUUUCACGGUCCACUGAACAUAGAAAAUGAUAGUGCGAGUGGGGCAUUCGUGUACUAUGGACACAUUCUUGUUAUUUGUAGAUUUGAUUUGAAGUGGUAGCAACUUCUAUUUAGAUGAAGUGUAAUUGUUCAUAAUGCAUCAGACUAUGUAAAUUCACUGUAUUCCAAUGAAAACAGUAUAAAAAUGUAUCUUGUGUUAAUUUUU